GGGAGCGUAGCUCAGUUGGUUAGAGCGCUUGCUUGACAUGCAAGAGGUCGCUGGUUCGAAUCCAGUCGCACCCACCA
rnacentral:tRNA from 2 species